UACGGAGGGUGCGAGCGUUGUCCGGAAUCACUGGGCGUAAAGGGCGCGUAGGCGGCCUGAUAAGUAGGGGGGUGAAAUCCUGCGGCUUAACCGCAGGGCUGCCUUCUAAACUGUCAGGCUUGAGCACAGUAGAGGCAGGUGGAAUUCCCGGUGUAGCGGUGGAAUGCGUAGAGAUCGGGAAGAACAUCAGUGGCGAAGGUGGCCUGCUGGGCUGUUGCUGACGCUGAGGCGCGAGCAGCGUGGGGGAGCAAACAGG
rnacentral:rRNA from 1 species